rnacentral:rRNA from 1 species
GAUGAACGCUGGCGGCGUGCCUAAUACAUGCAAGUCGAGCGAACAGAUGAGGAGCUUGCUCCCCUGCCGUUAGCGGCGGACGGGCGAGUAACACGUGGAUAACCUACCUAUAAGACUGGGAUAACAUCGUGAAACCGGAGCUAAUACCGGAUAAUAUAUUGAACCGCAUGGUUCAAUAGUGAAAGACGGUUUUGCCGUUACUUAUAGAUGAAUCCGCGUCGCAUUAGCUAGUUGGUAAGGUAACGGCUUACCAAGGCAACGAUGCGUAGCCGACCUGAGAGGGUGAUCAGCCACACUGGAACUGAGACACGGUCCAGACUCCUACGGGAGGCAGCAGUAGGGAAUCUUCCGCAAUGGGCGAAAGCCUGACGCAGCAACGCCGCGUGAGUGAAGAAGGUCUUCGGAUCGUAAAGCUCUGUUAUUAGGAAAGAAAAAAUGUAGAAGUAUCUACGGACGUCUUGACGGUACCUAAACAGUAAGCCACGGCUAACUACGUG